rnacentral:rRNA from 1 species
GGUGAACGCUGGCGGCGUGCCUAAUACAUGCAAGUCGAACGGGCCGCUCUUCACUGCGUGAAGAGCAGUAGACCGUAUACAGUAGUCAGUAGUCAGCAAAUUCAAAUGCAGUCUACCGUCUGCAGUCUACCGUCUGCUCGCUCAGUGCGUAGCGAUGAGCGGCAAGUGGCGAACGGCUGAGUAACACGUUGGAACCUGCCCCAAAGUAGAGAAUAGCCCCGGGAAACCGGAAUUAAUGCUCUAUAUGCCUUCGGGUGAAAGAUUUAUCGCCUUGGGAUGGUCCCGCGGCUGAUUAGCUUGUUGGUGAGGUAAUGGCUCACCAAGGCGACGAUCAGUAGCUGGUCUGAGAGGAUGACCAGCCAGAUUGAGACUGAGACACGGCCCAGACUCC